rnacentral:lncRNA from 1 species
CAUCCUGGAUCCUUCUUUUCUGGUAACUUGUUGAGGAUGGUCGUACUGCACUCUUCUGUGAGCUUGAUCACUUUAGUGGAUGGAAGUGGUCUCACUUUAAUGGAUGUACUUAGCAUAUGCAGGGACCUGUAUGGCAUACAACAGAGGUAUAUUGACAUAUAACUUACCUUCACGAACUUACCAAACAGUUCAUACGAUUGUUGUGGUCUUCUAUUUUGACGAGGAAACAAUAGAUAGUUGGUGUCUUGAAAAUUCUGUCUCAUCUCCUAAUCUUAGACUGGUUCUAGUAGUACUUCUUCGAGAAUAUUGUUCUCUUCUUCUACCACUAGUGGUGGCACUGGCAGUACUGCUGCUGGCCUUCUUGCACCUUUUGGAUAGGGAGGAUCUUUGGUAGAACUCCCUCUUCUUGUAGUGAUACAUUGUAACACCCAAAAAUCUGUUUUAAAUUAAUAGGGAUUAAUUUGAAUUAAUUAAGCAUUUUUGUGCACAUUUAAAUUUAGCACUUAAAUAAUUUUUGGUCAAAAUUAAAAUUUAUCAUAAGAUUAGAAACUUGUUUAUGCAUUCAUGCUGAAGAAUAUUUUAUUUUGUAUUGUUUGCCUCUAGUUUGAAUUUAUUUGCACUCAAAAUUUUAUUUGGAAAAGGUUUUUGGAAAAGAAAAUAGAAAAGAAAAAAAAAAGAAGAAAACCCCAGCCGAACCCCCCCCCUCACCCUCGCACUCGGCCCGCUAGUGGCCAGCCAGCCCCCUGGCUUCCCUUCCCGCCCCGGUUCAACACCCCCUCCCUUUUCUUUUUCCCCUACGCGAGGCCCAGCAACCCCGCGGCCCAUGUGCCCCGCAGGCGCGCCCCUCCUUCUCCCUUGACC